rnacentral:rRNA from 1 species
CAGCAGCCGCGGGAAUACGGAGGGUGCAAGCGUUAUCCGGAUUUAUCGGGUUUAAAGGGUCCGUAGGCGGACUUAUAAGUCAGUGGUGAAAGCCUGUCGCUUAACGAUAGAACUGCCAUUGAUACUGUAAGUCUUGAGUAUAUUUGAGGUAGCUGGAAUAAGUAGUGUAGCGGUGAAAUGCAUAGAUAUUACUUAGAACACCAAUUGCGAAGGCAGGUUACCAAGAUAUAACUGACGCUGAGGGACGAAAGCGUGGGUAGCGAACAGGAUUAGAUACCCCCGUAGUCCCUGUCUCUUAUAC